GCCGGUGUAGCUCAGCAGGCAGAGCAGUUGAUUCGUAAUCAACAGGUCACCAGUUCGAAUCUGGUCGCCGGCUCCA
rnacentral:tRNA from 1 species